GCUUCAGUGGGUGUGACUUUUGCUACUGCAGUCACUCCUGAACUUCAGACUCCAGUUUCUUCAGCCUUUUAAUAGGGACUCACAGCUGUAAAUCUCCAGGAUUCCUCCAAGUCAUCCCCUCAGUCUGACACUACAUCCUAGAUCCCUGUUGUUUGGGGGUUCCAGCUUCUUGGCUUGAGCACCUGUGGAUCCUCUGGCUCCCGAGUGUGUAGAGGCCAAUGACAAUGAUGGAAGGAUCAAUUUUGAAAUCUUUACAAUGUAUUCCUCUUUUUGUCACCAUAAAAACUUACUAUCUGAAAAAUUAUUCAGGAAAGCACCACUGUAUUGGAAAGGCUUAAAUCAGCUUCCUCAAUGAUGACUCAGGCUUCUAAGAUCAAGACAUGUAUUAUCCAAAAUUGGGAAUCCCGUGGUGUAGAUUAAAAUAAGGAAAGUGGUCAUAAACAGCAUCCGGGCUCAUCAUGGCAGUGGUGGCAACUCAACCAGUAUGGAGUCUUCUAAGGAAGACCUAUUCAAUUGAGGGAAGGCUCCCUCUACCACUUGACAGCCCAAGUACUUGACAAAACUGGCCUAUAUUAAAGGUCACAGUGAUUAAAAACAAUGUGGUGAAGACAUUCAGGGCUGAGUGACUGUUGCUAAGCCACUUAGUGUGAACAAUGCGGCACCAAGAAAGGGAGAAGCACUGUGUAUGCCUUAUCCUAAGCAGGUGCAAGCAAGGCAGAUCACCGCACAGACCUACGAGACAGCCUUCUCCCCUGGGUUCCAAUAAAGAAUACCUUUCCAGCCAAGUCAUCAAGAGACAGACAUGGAGGCACCAAAACACCACACAAGCAACAGCAUCUCUUGGUUUCUCAAUAACAUUCAAAGUUAUUUUAGUACAGAAAAUAGAAAAGCAUUUGUGGUAGGGGCUUUUCAACCCAAAAACACAAGGUUGGAGAAAAAAAAAGCUUCUUCUAGUGUCACCAUUUAGACUUUCAGAGUUGUGUGUCCUGCACACACUAUACCAUUUCAUCACCAAAAGUCACCCAACUAGUGUGUCAGUUACAAGACACAGAGGCCAAAUAAGGAGGAAAACUCUGAGAAGGGUACCUAGCACCUUGUAUUUCUCUCAUGUGGACUGGUGGGCUGGUGGAGAGGUAGUAGCAACAAUCCUCACAUAAGAAAAAGAAAUCAAAUCUACGUAGUUAUUCCACAGAUAGUGAAAACAGGCAGUCGCCCAGAUCUUAUGUUCCAACCACCCUUUCAUGGGAAGCCAGGUCUAUGCUAGCCUUGUUAUUUCAAAAGAAGCUGAGAAGGAAAAGUGGCUGCCCAAUUGAAGUGCUUGCCAAUAAUCCAGUUUUUUCAGGAGAAAGGUACAGUGACCCCUCCAGAGCACAGGCACAAACUUGCUUGUGGCUGAAUUCACUAAGCACAUUUUUAAUAAAGAAAACUGAAGGACAAACCAAAUUGAAAGAAUCACUGUUAUAAUAAUUUUAAUUUAUCUUGCGUUUUACAGAAAUCUAUGAAUGAUUUUAGAAAAGCACCUCCUUACCCCAUCUUGUUUCUCUGACAGUUGUUAAAGUAGGCAAUAAGUAUGUCAACAGCUUGAGCAUCGGCAAGGAUUUCAGAUCAACCAACCACUCGUCAAAGAACUUGGCAGCUUUUCUAUAUCAUGUUUUUAAUACAAUGAUAUAUCCACUCUGAUGGUAAACCUGUCCAGCCAAUUCCUCAGAACAUGCUUUGCAAAAUCAGUGGUGAUUAGCAAAUUAGUUAGCUUUGGCACAGAGCUGUGCUCGUUUGCCUGUGACAGCCUGGAAGCCAGUUUUGAUACUGGCAACACAGCAUCGAGAAUGACAAGUUUCACACUGUAAGAAAUAGAGCCUGGUGUCCUUCUGCAGAAUUGUGUCCUGUGAUCGGCAUGUGUGACAAGUGACAUAUUCCUUGAUAUAUCUUCUUAAGACAUUUUCUAUCUGUUUCUGUUGGAAUCUUCCUUUGAUUACAAGUUGGUUUUACCAUCUGUAGAACCACUUGUACCCAAUUCUGCCAAUAAAAAUGCAAGAAGAUGUUUGGGCUGACAAUGUAAUAGUUUACAGAUAUCUAUAAGUUGACAAAAGAAGUUUUCUGGGUUCCUGCUUGGAUGACCUGUGGAGAUUUCAUGACAAAUUUUCUUUUUUCUCCAGCAACCAUAUCUGGAUUCUUUUCCCUCAUGAUGUUGAACACUCGAUUCAGUAGCUCUUCAUAUGUGUAGUCUCUCUCCGAGCCUGUCCAAGCAGGGCCUGUCUGGUUACUGAAUGAGAUAACAUCACCUUUUUUUCUGUCUUCAUCUUCUAAAGCUUCUUCUUUUUCUAGUAUUUCAUCCUCAUCGGGGAACUUAACAUUCUUCUUUUUCUUCUUUUUAUUGCCAAGCAUAAUAUCAAGGUCAUCCUCUGGUUCAGCUGGCCCUUGGAUAUCUCUUUCAAUCUUAAGAUCCUUUAUACCCUCUUCAGCUUCAUCAAUAUCAAAUAUCUUUUCUGUUUUUUUUUCUUCUGAUUAAAGAAAUUCAAGUCAUCUAGAUCAUCAGAAGCAUCUUUCUUCUUACUGUCCUCUUCAUCAGCUUCCACAUCUUUGUCACCAGUUGGUUCUGGCUCCACUUCUUUUGUUUCUGAGGGCUGGGUUUCUUCUGUCUGGGUAUCUCCUUCCUCAUCUAACAUGAAGGACUUCUUCUUCUUUUUCUUUUUGCUCAUAGUAGGAUCAAAAAUCAUCUUGUCCCCAGACAUGGCUGCAGCUCGAGUGGGCUCAGCAAGGAUGGGAAGUGAGACAGAUCAGUCCCAGGCCUCGGCGUCAGCGCUGCUCUUACCGAAACACUUCCAAGAACUGCACUAGGCUCUUGCAUCAGCGAAAGGGGAAGAGUCUACUUUUUUUAAAGUAUAAAGUUAAAUCACGUAUAAAUAGUAAAAAUUUGAUUUCCUUCUCUCUGAUUUGUAUUCCUAUUAUGUCUUUCUUUUUUUACUCUGGCUAAAAUCUCAAGUUCUAUAUUGAGUAAGUGAUGAGAGUCCACAUUCUUGUCUUGUUUCUGAUUGCAGAGGAAGUACUUGCAAUUUUCCCCCUAUUAGGUAUAAUGU
rnacentral:lncRNA from 1 species